rnacentral:rRNA from 1 species
AUGUUGGUUCGCGCUUUAUGGCAUUUCAACGAGCAAACUAAUCAAAUCCCACAAAGGAUUGUUCUACUAAUAAUGGCAUUUGUUGUCUUAUUCGGAGUUCAAGGAAUAUGGUUGUUGAAGAAUAUAUCAUCGACUUUACCGGCUCUACAAAGGCACUUUCCUACCUUGUGCCAUGGAUUUGAUGAAGCUUGA